rnacentral:rRNA from 1 species
AACGAACGCUGGCGGCGUGCCUAACACAUGCAAGUCGUACGAGAAAUCUGGAGCAAUCUGGAGAGUACAGUGGCGCACGGGUGAGUAACGCGUGGGUAACCUACCCUUGGGUUGGGGAUAACUCCUCGAAAGGGGUGCUAAUACCGGAUAACAUUUCGAUCUCCACGGGGAUUGAAAUCAAAGGUGGCCUCUGCAUGCAAGCUACUGCCCGGGGAUGGGCCCGCGUACCAUUAGCUAGUUGGUAGGGUAAUGGCCUACCAAGGCUGCGAUGGUUAGCUGGUCUGAGAGGAUGGCCAGCCACACUGGAACUGAGACACGGCCCAGACUCCUACGGGAGGCAGCAGUAGGGAAUUUUCGGCAAUGGGCGCAAGCCUGACCGAGCAACGCCGCGUGAGUGAUUAAGGCCUUCGGGUUGUAAAGCUCUGUUGUAAGGGAAGAACAUUCAGGAUAGGAAAUGAUCUUGAACUGACGGUACCUUACCAGAAAGCCACGGCUAACUACGUGCCAGCCGCCGCGGUAAAAC